GUAUAAGAGACAGCAGUCGCCGCGGGAAUACGGAGGGUGCAAGCGUUAAUCGGAAUUACUGGGCGUAAAGCGCACGCAGGCGGUCUGACAAGUCAGAUGUGAAAUCCCCGGGCUUAACCUGGGAACUGCAUUUGAAACUGUCAGGCUGGAGUCUUGUAGAGGGGGGUGGAAUUCCAGGUGUAGCGGUGAAAUGCGUAGAGAUCUGGAGGAAUACCGGUGGCGAAGGCGGCCCCCUGGACAAAGACUGACGCUCAGGUGCGAAAGCGUGGGGAGCAAACAGGAUUAGAUACCCCGGUAGUCCCUGUCUCUUAUAC
rnacentral:rRNA from 1 species